UCGAGAAUCUUCGGCAAUGGACGCAAGUCUGACCGAGCGAUGCCGCGUGCGGGAUGAAGGCCCUCGGGUUGUAAACCGCUGUCAGUUGUUAGGAAAUGCGAUGGGGUUCUCUCCAUCGUUUGACCGAUCUUCAGAGGAAGGACGGGCUAAGUUCGUGCCAGCAGCCGCGGUAACACGAACCGUCCAAACGUUAUUCGGUAUCACUGGGCUUAAAGCGUGCGUAGGCGGCCUGGAAGGUCAGAGGUGAAAUCCCACGGCUCAACCGUGGAACUGCCUUUGAAACCAUCAGGCUUGAGGGAGACAGGGGUGAUCGGAACUUAUGGUGGAGCGGUGAAAUGCGUUGAUAUCAUAGGGAACACCGGUGGCGAAAGCGGAUCACUGGGUCUCUUCUGACGCUGAGGCACGAAAGCUAGGGUAGCGAACGGGAUUAGAUACCCCCGUAGUCC
rnacentral:rRNA from 1 species